rnacentral:lncRNA from 1 species
CUUUGAGAAGAAGGGUGCAAGGGGAAAUGGCAGAGGUGGAGCAGCACACUGCUUAAAAAUGUUUAUGUAUACAGGACGGUUGGAGGAGUAAGGAAUCUCUGAGGAUACGCCCAUUUUUUCCCCUCUGUUUAUCAGUAUGUCUUAGCUGACAGGAUGAAUCCUCCCAGCUUGUCCAGCACACCUGAUGCAGCUCUGAAGCCACUUCUUUCAGGAAAAAAUAAGCAUCUGUUUAGUGCCUCAGAAAUAGAACCAAAAAAAGACUAGUGCUUCAUUGCUAACAAGAAAGUGGAGAUGACUCACUGCUACUAAAGGUUUAUUCCUUGUUAGCUUAUUCUGCCCUAACAGACCGACGAAUUGAAGAAGUCAGAAGAAGGGGAAAGGAAGGUGUUGUUUUUUUGUUUGUUUUUUUAGAGAAUGCAAUGAAUUUUUUUAUUACUUUACUACUCUUUUGUAAAGCUUGCGUUUGGUUAUGGUUCUCAAUGCAAGAAAAAGUUGGGAAUGAACCUCAUGAGUCUGCUGUCUAGGUAUCAACUUUGUCAUUACUGCAAAAAAGGUGGAGUGUUCUAUGUCUCUAAAAC